CCCCCCUCCCCCCACCUCCCGUUCAUUAUCCUUGGUCUUCACCUCCACCUAUACCUACAUCUCCAUCUACCGAACAUCAGACCCCUCCAGCUACCUUGCCGACGCAUGAACAAGACGAUGUGUUAGACUUUGUCGAAACCCUCUUCACUAGUGGAGGUAUCGACCAUCACUCUUCACUGUAACCCGAUGGUGAUGGGCGACCAUGAGCUUCCAUGUUAUUGCGUUUUGAUACUUGAGACUUUUAUUAUGACUAUGUAUGAGAUAUCGUCUCUUAUUAGUACUGGAUGAUGAGAUGUGUCUUA